AUUGAACGCUGGCGGCAGGCUUAACACAUGCAAGUCGAACGCCCCGCAAGGGGAGUGGCAGACGGGUGAGUAACGCGUGGGAAUCUACCCAGCUCUACGGAAUAACCCAGGGAAACUUGGACUAAUACCGUAUACGUCCUUCGGGAGAAAGAUUUAUCGGAGUUGGAUGAGCCCGCGUUGGAUUAGCUAGUUGGUGGGGUAAUGGCCUACCAAGGCGACGAUCCAUAGCUGGGCUGAGAGGAUGAUCAGCCACACUGGGACUGGGACACGGCCCAGACUCCUACGGGAGGCAGCAGUGGGGAAUAUUGGACAAUGGGCGCAAGCCUGAUCCGGCCAUGCCGCGUGAGUGAUGAAGGCCCUAGGGUUGUAAAGCUCUUUCACCGGUGAAGAUAAUGACGGUAACCGGAGAAGAAGCCCCGGCUAACUUCGUGCCAGCCGCCGCAGUAAUAC
rnacentral:rRNA from 1 species